rnacentral:rRNA from 1 species
AACAGGAUUAGAUACCCUGGUAGUCCACGCUGUAAACGAUGUCGACUUGGAGGUUGUGCCCUUGAGGCGUGGCCUCCGGAGCUAACGCGUUAAGUCGACCGCCUGGGGAGUACGGCCGCAAGGUUAAAACUCAAAUGAAUUGACGGGGGCCCGCACAAGCGGUGGAGCAUGUGGUUUAAUUCGAUGCAACGCGAAGAACCUUACCUACUCUUGACAUCCAGAGAAUUUGCUAGAGAUAGCUUAGUGCCUUCGGGAACUCUGAGACAGGUGCUGCAUGGCUGUCGUCAGCUCGUGUUGUGAAAUGUUGGGUUAAGUCCCGCAACGAGCGCAACCCUUAUCCUUUGUUGCCAGCGAGUCAUGUCGGGAACUCAAAGGAGACUGCCGGUGAUAAACCGGAGGAAGGUGGGGAUGACGUCAAGUCAUCAUGGCCCUUACGAGUAGGGCUACACACGUGCUACAAUGGCAUAUACAAAGAGAAGCGGACUCGCGAGAGCAAGCGGACCUCAUAAAGUAUGUCGUAGUCCGGAUUGGAGUCUGCAACUCGACUCCAUGAAGUCGGAAUCGCUAGUAAUCGUAGAUCAGAAUGCUACGGUGAAUACGUUCCCGGGCCUUGUACACACCGCCCGUCACACCAUGGGAGUGGGUUGCAAAAGAAGUAGGUAGCUUAACCUUCGGGAGGGCGCUUACCACUUUGUGAUUCAUGACUGGGGUGAAGUCGUAACAAGGUAACC